CUCACAGGGUUCUGUCGUCAUAAUUUACCAUACACCAGUGACGUCAGGAGGGACGUGAUUUCCUCAUAUGAAAGUGAAAGUAACUGUGUGGUCUACGCCGUUACAAAACGACUGUGGAAAAUGCAGGCACAUUUCUCCGCAACAUUUGAAGUAGGAUAAUGUGUUGAUUUGAAGGACAGACGGACAGAAUCUGUGAAUUGGUGUGUGAGAGUGUCACGGUUUGUCGUCGGAAGGAUGAGACCAAAGCGCAGUGUGAAAGCACAGCAGAUAUACCCUGGCAUUAUGUGAUCAGUGAUGGGGAGUUAUUGAAAUGUUUUUUGGUCCAUUGUGUAUUUCCGUUUGUGGAAUAUUUAGAUAAAGCCUUGAAUAUAAGAAAAAUGUCUACCUAUAAUUAAAUUGUAAAAAUAUUUAGCUUCUAUGUGGUAAAUGGUAUGUGUGUAUAGGCUUGUCUCCCAUAUGAAUCUUCUAUGUGGUAAAUGGUAUGUGUGUAUAUAGAUUGUGUAUAGACUUGUCUCCCAUAUGAAUCUUCUCYUYGUUCCAGACUGGAUUCAAAUGCCUUCUGUUUCUUUUUUUCUGUAUUUAUUUAUCUGUAUAUGUGUAUAUAUACAGUGUGUAU